GAUUUCUGGCUUAAUGCACCUGGCCCGCGGCCACUAGGCUUGUGAGUGCCGGCGCGCGUUUACCAUCCUUCUAGAAAACGUUUCUGCCAUUUUCGGUUCUAUUUUGUUGGUUUCUUUCACUGAAGUAAUGAUUGAUAGGGAUAGUUGGGGGUGCUAGUAUUGGCCGGCCAGAGGUGAAAUUCUUGGAUUCGGUCAAGACUCACUUAUGCGAAAGCAUUCACCAAGGAUGUCUUCUUCUGUCUCUUAUACACA
rnacentral:rRNA from 1 species